GGAGCGGCGGGAGGGGCGCCUGGAGGGAGGCGCCGGGGCCCCUGCGGAGAACCGAGGUGCCAAGACCUGGCGGCCCCGGGAGCCCGAGGGCCGGGGCAAGGGAACCCCAGGGUUGUUCCCGGAAAGAAGCUGAACCUGGCGCCCUCCCCCUGCCCCCAAACACCCUCCCCCGCCUUGAAGCCGCCCCUGGGCUCGCGGUGGGACCUCAAGUCUCCAGAAGAACCUGGUGGUGCUGGGAUGCUCUUGAAUGGGCUACUCCAAGUACCGAUAUGGAUAAUGUUUACAAAUUACUUUGGAUGUCUAGCGACAGAGACUUGCACGCAGUAGAUGCUCAAUAAAUACUAAAUGAAGGCCUGAACUGCAGGGAGCAGCGCUGCAGCGGGACGGAGUUCAAGUUCCUGCGCACUCGCCGUCCAUUCUGCCUGUCUUGAACCCUUCUAGGGGCCGUGCUACGCUAGGUGCUGGCGAUAUGACAAAGAACCAGCUUGACAUGGACCCUGCCUUUACAGGGCUUACUGCCCAGUGCCAUGAACUCCGGUUAGAUCAUUGUGGCCUUUACUUAAAAAAGAAAUGGACGUAUUCCCCAGCCUGCCUUCCGUGGCACUAACUGCCUGCUUGAGCGUUUGCUCUGGGAAUGCAUGCCUCUCUAGGGCACCUUGAGGCUUCUGGGGAGCCCUGUGUCAGCAGCUUCUUUCUCAUCAUCCAUCUCCUGCCGUCAACCUCCAGGUUACUGAGUUCCAGGCCAAGAUCCUCAGAGCUCACUGUCAUCCAUGGGAAGGGUGGGCUUCCCUCCAUCUUCCCUACAUCACCGCCAACUGGCCUCACCUUGCAGAUGAAAAGACCAAACCCCCAGAAAUACAGGAACCCACCCAAGGUCACAACACAGAUUCGGACCCGAGGGAACUCUUCUGAUCCCUGGACAGGUCAUCUAAAUGUUUGCUGAAUCAUAGAACCAGAUUUGGAAGAGGUCAUUCCAAGAUACUGCCUAGUUCACCUUUCCACCUCUGAAUAAGAUUCCAGUUUAUAUGACCAUCCAAGACUUCUAUAGACCAGGUCCACAUAGUCAAAGCUAUGGUUUUUCCAGUAGUCAAUGUACUACCGAUGUGAGAAAUGGACCAUACCGAAGGCUGAGUGCCAAAGAAUUGAUGCUUUCGAAUUGUGGUGUUGGAGAAGACUCCUGAGAGUCUUCUCAGGAGAUGAAACCAGUCAGUCCUAAAGGAAAUCGACCCUGAAUGUUCACUGGAAGAACUGAUGCUGAAGCUGAAGCUCCAACACUUUGGCCACUCAUUGGUGAAGACCCUGAUGCUGGGAAAGAUUGAAAGCAAAAGGAGUAGGCAGGGGCAGAAGAUGAGAUGGUUCAGCAGCAGCAUCAACUCAGUGAACAUGGAUUUGAGCAAACUCAAGGAGAGCGUGAAGGACGGGGAGGCUGGCACGCUGGGGUCUGCAGAGCUGCAAAGAGUCGGACACAACUGAGUGACUAGUCAGCAACAGGAUUUCCGAAUAUAGCUAGUGAUAGAGAUUCCACAUUUUGUAUUGAUAGACUUCCCCCAAAUCUGCCAGCUUUGGGGAAGUCAAACCUUUUCUCACUUCCAAUCCAAAUCUCUUCCUUCCUAAGUCUUCCAGUAUGUAAGUGAAGAUCAGCAAGACCCUCACAAUAACUUUCAUCUAUUAGAGAUUAAACUGUCCAACAACCUUGUCUUCAUGUCAAGUGAUUCUUUUUACCCCUUUACCAAGAUGUUCAACUCACUUUUCUUAAAAACAUCUUUUUUCCCAUAAGUGUCAGAAAAGAAAAUCAGAAUCUCUCUAAGCCUUACUGAGUUUCUCCGUCUACAAAAUAGGGAUAAGUAUUAAGUAUUAAUACAAAAUAUUUGGUCAACCAACACCAAUCUUCUUCAGCAGGAAGCACAAAUAAGCAAGUGAACUGUGCCAAGUUUCAUUCCAUCUCUUCAUCUGUAAAAUGGGACACUAAAUGUCCGAUGCCAAAUGUAGUUCCUUCAGGGUGGCUUAAGGGGAAAAUAGAUAAUAACGGUGCUUUGUGAAAUGUGCAAGAAUUCACAGAUGUAAGGGAUCAUUAUUACGAUUCCUGGAUCCACAAAGUUUUUCUAAUUCUAUGCCAGGCACACAGCGAGCACUUUGAAAGAUCACUCCAUUUAUUUCUCAUAACAAUCCUAGAAAAUGGUUCCUAUUAUCAUCAUGAUUUCAUUUAAAACAAUGCCGGGCAUGCAUUAGGUGCUUAAAUAUUUUGUCAAGGAGGAAGUGGGAGCUUGGAGAGGCUAGUGGCCUGUCCAAGUAAAUGUGCCUUGUUAGAGAAGGUAGAAAUUGAACUUGGCCUCCACUCAUUUCUAAAUCAAAGUACCAUUCCUUACGCAGAACUAAUUACAUAAAGUUACUUUGAUCUCCGGAGUAGAGUCAAUUCUACUUGAAAUUGCAGCUGAAACUGUCUCUUCCUGUUCCCAUCUCCUUGGCAUCUACCCACCUUCUGGGUCUCUUGCAUUCUCCACCUUACCAAAGUGUGCUCUCUUUCCUCUGAAAGAACUGAAGGAUGUUCUUCCCACCCCAGAAGCAUUUGCAUUUCAACACUAGGUGAACCUUUAAGCCAAAAUAGUGAAUAUGAAUCUUAGACCAUUAGAAUCAUCAAAGAAAUGAACUGUUGGGGAAGAAGUGAGCAAAGAAAGUGAAAGUAGCAGCUGCUUAGUCGUGUCCGACUCUUUGCGACCCCGUGGACUGUGGCCCACCAGGCUCCUCCAUCCAUGGAAUUCUCCAGGCAAGAACCCUGGAGUGGGUUGCCAUUUCCUUCUCCAGGGGAUCUUCCUGACCCAGGGAUCGAACACAUGUCUCCUGCAUUGCAGGAAGACGCUUUAACCUCUGAGCUACCAGGGAAGCCUGCAGGGAAGGAGGUGGCUGCUGCUGCUGCUGCUGCUGCUAAGUCCCUUCAGUCGUAUCCAACUCUGUGCAACCCCAUAGACGGCAGCCCACCAGGGGGAUUCUCCAGGCAAGAACACUGGAGUGGAUUGCUAUUUCCUUCUCCAAUGCAUGAAAGUGAAAAGUGAAAGUGAAGUUGCUCAGUCGUGUCCAACUCAUAGCGACCCCAUGGACUGCAGCUUACCAGGCUCCCCCAUCCACGAGAUUUUCCAGGCAAGAGUACUGGAGUGAGGUGCCAUUGCCUUCUCCAGAAGGAGGUGGGAAAGCCUUUAUUUUGACUCUGAAAUCAUACCCAAUCACAGCAGGUACAUGGCCAUCUUGAAGAAUUCAGUCAGAUAAGCAGUCUUGUUGGUAUUACUUUGACUUUGCUAGGUCUUACCCAGUUCUCCACGACCACAUGAUAUUGCUGGGCCAUUCUUCUCUUCCAGGGGUUGGUUAAUAAUGCUGAUUAGAGAAAGAGGAUCUCUUUCCAAUUUAUGCAGUAUUCCUAUAUUUAGAUUCCGAUAUUAUGCUACUUAAAAUAGCCCUCUAAUGUUACUGACACACAUUGAAAUAUGGACCCACUUGGACCUGUGAAAUAAUUAAUGAUCUACACCACUCUCUUCAUCAGGAAUUAAAGUUAAGCUGACAACUAUUUCUAGGAGUCUUAUUGUAUCUUUUAUGGAAGAUCAUUCUUUUUCAUUUCCAAAUAUGGGGUAUUAUUUUUUCAGUAAGGGAAUCCAGAGGGCUGUAUUACCAGGUUUCAAAAUGCUGAGCGAUCAGAAGGCAAUGGCACCCCACUCCAGUACUCUUGCCUGGAAAAUCCCAUGGACAGAGGAGCCUGGAAGGCUGCAGUCCAUGGGGUCGCUGAGGGUCGGACAUGACUGAGCGACUUCACUUUCACUUUUCACUUCCAUGCAUUGGAGAAGGAAAUGGCAACCCACUCCAGUGUUCUUGCCUGGUGAAUCCCAGGAAUGGGGGAGCCUGGUGGGCUGCCGUCUAUGGGGUCGCACAGAGUCGGACACGACUGAAGUGACUUAGCAGCAGCAGCAGCAUAACCUUUAGUUAGAAUUCAGCAUUUUUAGAAAACCUCCAUCAAUUAUUACCCCAUUAUUCAUCAUAACAGGCUUCCCAGGUAGCUCAGUGGUAAAUAAUCUGCCAGUCAAUGCAGGAGACACAAGAGAUGUGGGUUCAGUCUCUGAGUCAGGAAGAUCCCCUGGAGUAGGAAACAGCAAACUGCUCCAGUAUUCUUGCCUGGAAAAUUCCAUGAACAGCGGAGCCUGGCGGGCUACAGUUCACAGAAUUGCAAAGUUGAACAUGACUGAGUGACUGAGGAUUAAACACCACUAAUCAUUCCAUAGUAAAGUCUUGGCUUGUCAGAACUUACCAGGUUAAAUCUGCUCCCAGCAACACCCUGGACCAGUCAAAUAUUUCAUUUGCUAGGGCUUCCCUGUUCACUCAGAUGGUAAAGCCCGCAAUGAGGGAGAGCGGGGUUCUAUCCCUGGGUCGGGAAGAUCUCCUGGAGAAGGAAAUGGCAACCCACUCCAGUACUCUUGCCCAGAAAAUGCCAUGGAUGGAGGUGUCUCGUAGGCUACAGUCGAUGGGGUCGCAAAAAGUGGGACACGACUGAGUGACUUCACUUUCACUUUCAGUAUAUAAAAAAGUCAGUGCAAGUCUAGGUGGACACUUCUAUCCAAAUGGUCACUAGCCUACAUGCACAAGGCCCCUCCUGGCCUGUAUGGCAACUUGUUGUUAUUGCUGUUCAGUCACUCAGUCAUCUCAGACUCUUUGCGACCCCAUGGACUGCAGCACGCCAGGCUUCCCUGUCCUUCACCAUCUCCCGGAGUUUGCCCAAACUCAUGAGUCGGUGAUGCCAUCCAACCAUCUCAUCUUCUGUCACCCCCUUCUCCUCUUGCCCUCAGUCUUUCCCAGCAUCAGGGUCUUUUCUAGUGAGUUGGCUCUUCGCAUCAGGUGGCCAAAGUACUAGAGUUUCAGCUUCAACAUCAGUCCUUCCAAUGAUUAUCCAGGGUUGAGCUCCUUUAGGAUGGACUCGUUGGAUCUCCUUGCAGUCCAAGGGACUCUCAAGAGUCUUCUCCAACACCACAGUUCAAAAGCAUCAAUUCUUGGGCCCUCAGCUUUCUUUAUGGUCCAGCUCUCACACCCAUACAUGACAUUGGUAAAACCAUAGCCUUGACUAGAUGGACCAUCGUCAACAAAGUAAUGUCUCUGCUUUUCAACACACUGUCUAGGUCAGUCAUAGCUCUUCUUCCAAGGAGCAAGCAUCUUUGAAUUUCAUGGCUGCAGUCACCAUCUGCAGUGAUAUGGCAGCUAAAGGAAAGCUACUCCCUCCAGUGGAAAAAGCACCAUGUCACAGGCUUGAUUUGCAGACAGUGCCUUUGUUCAAGCCAGAAGGCACUCCUUAGGGGUGGAGGGUGGAGGCUGGGGAGGACACACCGGCGCCAGGAAGCCCAGUAUGUCCAGAACUUGGAGUGGGUUUCCAUCCCCACUCACCCAUCAGCCGGGUGCCCAUAUACGGUGCACAAACCACACCACCGCAUGCUCCUGCUCUUUACAGAAGAUACAUAGAUGGAUAAACGAGCAGGAGUAGGGGAUGGGUUCCACUGAUUCCAGAUCAGUUCGGGGGAAAUUUUUAAGUACUUUGUCAUUUAUGAAUUAAAAUUAAUUUUAGAUUUGUUUUGUAAGAUAAAAUGUAUUAUUAUGUUUGUCUUUGAACAUUUCCCACUUCUCGUUUCCCUUAUUUUUCCCAGAGGAAGACCAAAAUAUCAUGGCUUUGCAACAUCACAACCAUGUUCUUUCUUGAAAUUAAUAAAAUUA
rnacentral:lncRNA from 1 species